AUUGAACGCUGGCGGCAGGCCUAACACAUGCAAGUCGAACGAGUGGCGGACGGGUGAGUAAUGCAUGGGCCACUGCCUGUUGGAUGGGGAUCACUACUGGAAACGGUAGCCAAUACCGCACACCAUAGGAUGUGCCCAGAUUGGAUUAGCGAGUUGUGGGGGUAAAGGCUCACCAAGGCGACGAUCCCUAGCUGGUCUGAGAGGAUGACCGGCCACACUGGAACGGAGACACGGUCAAGACUCCUACGGGAGGCAGCAGUGGGGAAUAUUGGACAAUGGGCGAAAGCCUGAUGCAGCCAUGCCGCGUGUGUGAAGAAGGCCUUCGGGUUGUAAAGUACUUUAAGCGGGGAGGCGUUACCCGCAGAAGAAGCACCGGCUAACUCCGUGCCAGCAGCCGCGGUAAUUC
rnacentral:rRNA from 1 species